rnacentral:rRNA from 1 species
UACGAAGGGGGCUAGCGUUGCUCGGAAUCACUGGGCGUAAAGGGUGCGUAGGCGGGGCUUUAAGUCAGGGGUGAAAUCCUGGAGCUCAACUCCAGAACUGCCUUCGAUACUGGAAAGCUCGAGUCCGGGAGAGGUGAGUGGAACUGCGAGUGUAGAGGUGAAAUUCGUAGAUAUUCGCAAGAACACCAGUGGCGAAGGCGGCUCACUGGCCCGGUACUGACGCUGAGGUGCGAAAGCGUGGGGAGCAAACAGG